AAAAAAAGAAAAAGGAAGACAAAGAUUACCAUCUUCCCCUUUGCUCUGCAGUUCCUUCUUAUGGAGCCAAGUCCCUCCCUUUCAAACAACCUUUGCUGACAGAAACCCGCAAUGAUACAUUGCAGGAUGCACUAGAGUGCUAUGGAAGCCAGUGCAACGUGACGCAUUUACUGUACUACAACGUACUGUAUCUCAGUGCUAAUGACGUCUGGGUAUUGAAAUAGCCUCCACAGGGAGCAACGUUGCAACACCUGCUUCUUCUGGAUAACCCUGUCUUCAUCUCCUUGCUGCAAUGGAGAAAAAAAGACCUUCUCAGAGAGAAUGCUGAAGUGGAAUGUCACAUUAGGGCAUGCUUGUUAAUGACAAGCAAUUACAAGGUUGCCAAGUGUUCAAAAAGAUGCUCCCAGGAUCACUAGUAUUGGAAUAUUUUAUGUAGCAUUUAAUUAUCCAUGGUUCAACUUCUACGCAGUAAUAUAAAAUAGAAAAGGCAAGAAAACCUUUCAUUAAAAGACGCUUAGUAAUCAUUAAUCACAUAUUUAUUACAUGAUAACAUACUGUAAUGGGGCUUGGAGCAUAGGCCCAGUGGUCAAGGCAUCUCUGACAAUGUGUGCAGCUAACGAGGCUCAAGGGUCAAAUUCUGCCCUCUGUUAAAUCAGCAGUGUGUGUAAUUGUGUUGGUGAAACCAAAAACCAGUACUGAAGGCCACUUCUCAGGAGUGUACCAGUUCCAAAAGCGCACCGCAUACCUGGCUUGGGUAGGAUUGUCUGCUUUUUGCUAAGUAUUUAUGAGUCUAAGAUGGGAUUACUGUGUCCAGCAAGGCAUACCAUCACCCUAGUAACAAGUAGGAUGGAGAUUCAGUCCUUUUGCAGGAAGCAGUUUCCAGAAGCCCAUUGGAUUCUCACAGACUGCCGCACUGCCCAUGACACACUUGCCAGUACGGUCUGAGCACUGGCUUCUCAUUAUGGUGCUGUAGAAUUCAAUUUAUGAUAUUAAAUAAAAUUUGAAACAGUCAAAUUCUGAAUUCA
rnacentral:lncRNA from 1 species